CCUACGGGAGGCAGCAGUGGGGAAUAUUGGGCAAUGGGCGCAAGCCUGACCCAGCAAUGCCGCGUGAAGGAAGAAGGCUUUCGGGUUGUAAACUUCUUUGACAGGGGAAGUGCAGAAGACGGUACCCUGAAAACAAGCUACGGCUAACUACGUGCCAGCAGCCGCGGUCAUACGUAGGUGGCAAGCGUUGUCCGGAUUUACUGGGUGGAAAGGGCGUGUAGCCGGGAAGGCAAGUCAGUUGUGAAAGUUGGAGGCUCAACCUCCAAAUUGCAUUUGAAACUGUUUUUCUUGAGUACAGGAGAGGCAGGCGGAAUUCCUUGUGUAGCGGUGAAAUGCGUAGAUAUAAGGAAGAACACCAGUGGCGAAGGCAGUCUGCUAAACAGCGACUGACAGUGAGGCGCGAAAGCGUGGGGAGCAAACAGGAUUAGAUAUCCUUGUAGUC
rnacentral:rRNA from 1 species